UAAUGUAUGGGGAUCUGCCCGAUGAGGGGGAGUAACUACUGGAAACGGUGGCUAAUACCGCAUAAUGUCUACGGACCAAAGCAGGGGCUCUUCGGACCUUGCACUAUCGGAUGAACCCAUAUGGGAUUAGCUAGUAGGUGGGGUAAAGGCUCACCUAGGCGACGAUCUCUAGCUGGUCUGAGAGGAUGAUCAGCCACACUGGGACUGAGACACGGCCCAG
rnacentral:rRNA from 1 species